rnacentral:rRNA from 1 species
GAUGAACGCUAGCGGGAGGCCUAACACAUGCAAGCCGAGCGGUAGAGUCUCUUCGGAGACUUGAGAGCGGCGCACGGGUGCGGAACACGUGUGCAACCUGCCUUUAUCUGGGGGAUAGCCUUUCGAAGGGAAGAUUAAUACCCCAUAAUAUACUGGAUGGCAUCAUCUGGUAUUGAAAACUCCGGUGGAUAGAGAUGGGCACGCGCAAGAUUAGAUAGUUGGUGAGGUAACGGCUCACCAAGUCAGCGAUCUUUAGGGGGCCUGAGAGGGUGAUCCCCCACACUGGUACUGAGACACGGACCAGACUCCUACGGGAGGCAGCAGUGAGGAAUAUUGGACAAUGGGUGAGAGCCUGAUCCAGCCAUCCCGCGUGAAGGACGACGGCCCUAUGGGUUGUAAACUUCUUUUGGAUAGGGAUAAACCUAGAUACGUGUAUCUAGCUGAAGGUACUAUACGAAUAAGCACCGGCUAACUCCGUG